UGUGCAUAUUGUUAUAUUAAUAUAUGAAUGUGCUUCGUUAAAAACGUGGCGUAAUAAAAUUAUAUAUAUAGUAUAACUGCCAAUCGGUGGCCGAUAUAUUAAUAUGUUUGUGACUCGUCUUGGUUAUCAGUACAGGCCAUCGACAUUUGACGGUUUUGUUUUCAGUGGUUGCGACCCGCGGCCUUUAAUUCGUUUUUAUGUUAUCGAGCGCGGGCGGAUGCGGUCGAUGUAAGCUGCGAUGCAUUAGAGAGAUGAGUGAACCGUCUCGUGCCGACAGUGGACUAUAUAAAAUCACCACGGAUGUAGUCCGUUAUUAGUCCACAAUGCUACCACUUGUAUGUCAUUGAAACCCAUUCGAAUAGGCGUGAAAUAAGUGCGCCGUUAGAUACACAGUGCGUAGCAGAGAUACUAUCUUAUUUUAAAAAUGAACAACACAAACAGUAUUUAAUAUAUAUUAUUAAUUCAAUUAUUUUUCCAUGUUACAAAAGUAGAUAUUUAAAGUUUUUGUUUUUAUGUUUUAAAAACAGUAACCCGCUUCCUGCUCCUUCAAAAUUUGUAUCAACUAUUAAAAAAGUGGUUAAUUUGUAUGUAAGUUUAUUUUUUUAAAUUGUUUUAUUAAAUGUUAAAUAAUAAUUAAUUGCAUAAUAGCAAAAUGUGAAACCAACAAUCGCACAUCAGUUAUCAGUUAAAGAUGUAAAAAAAAUGUAUUAAGUGUAAAGCUUUUUCAGAGGAUGAGAAAUAUGCAGCAUGACAUAUGUCUUCUCAUUUAAAAAAUAUUACAGCCACAAGGAUUGAAACUCCUAGUACUUCUGCUGAUGUAGCUCCCGAGAACUCUAUUAUAACACACACUAGACCCAUUCAUGUUCCUUCGAGUUCUGUUUCAUCUCAGUGUGUUGUGGUGGAGAAGAAGAGGAAGAAUCUUUGGAACCCAUUAUUACUAAAGUCGAGACAAAAGAAACAUUAAAGAAAUAUACUGACAAAUUAUGUUGUAUCAUUGGCGGCUAUCAUCCUUAAAAAUAUAGGUGUAACGAAACAUAAGAAGUAACCACCCACCCUCAAUAAUAUUUAUCCAUAUAACAUCCCAUCUACUGAAUAGUUUAUUCAACAUGUUGAAAAAAAAUUUACUAUUAUACUUUUAAAAUAUUCCAAAGUAUUAUUGUAUUAUUCGCUUACGAAAAAUUACAUAGACAACCCACCCCAUCCACCUCUACUAUAGGAUAGUCGAAAAAAAUCCUGGCUACGGCACUGUCAAAUUUUAUUAGGUAUGUAUUAUAUAAGUUUAUUAUAUGUCUAUUAAUUUUUAAUUUAUUUAAUUGUAUACUUGCUAAUCUUGCACGGCGUUGCUCGUGACAAAUUAAAUAAUGCCAAUAAAUUAGUGGAUUAAGGAUUUACCCUGCCUUGCAAGUAGUUGCAACUCCGUUAAAUGUAAACUACACAUAUUUUUAACUCAACCAUUUGAAUAGUUUUACAAAAAUAUAAAAUACAGAUUUAAAAUUAUAUCGAAUUAUUAUGA